rnacentral:rRNA from 1 species
GACGAACGCUGGCGGCGUGCUUAACACAUGCAAGUCGAACGGUAAGGCCCUUCGGGGUACACGAGUGGCGAACGGGUGAGUAACACGUGGGUGAUCUGCCCUGCACUUCGGGAUAAGCCUGGGAAACUGGGUCUAAUACCGGAUAGGACUCCGGACUGCAUGGUCUGGGGUGGAAAGCUUUUGCGGUGUGGGAUGGGCCCGCGGCCUAUCAGCUUGUUGGUGGGGUGAUGGCCUACCAAGGCGACGACGGGUAGCCGGCCUGAGAGGGUGACCGGCCACACUGGGACUGAGAUACGGCCCAGACUCCUACGGGAGGCAGCAGUGGGGAAUAUUGCACAAUGGGCGCAAGCCUGAUGCAGCGACGCCGCGUGAGGGAUGACGGCCUUCGGGUUGUAAACCUCUUUCAGCACAGACGAAGCGCAAGUGACGGUAUGUGCAGAAGAAGGACCGGCCAACUACGUGCCAGCAGCCGCCGCCG